rnacentral:tRNA from 2 species
AGGCCUGUAGCUCAAUUGGCAGAGCACCGGACUCCAAAUCCGGCGGCUGGGGGUUCGAGUCCCUCCAGGCCUG